UUGGUCAAGUAAUUACACUUAUCUUUUUUUACUUCUUUUGUGUCUUUACAUCUGGGAAUAAGUUUUACCUUGGAGUAGAUUCAUGUUUCUGUAUUUGUUUAUUGGUUUGUUGGUGGGGAGUGCACUUUUUGUUGAAUCUAUAAUAGGUUGGGAGAAUCAAGCAGAAGCGGGGUUACAAAGAUCAGCAGUAUGACAUUCACAGAAAUGCUUUCAUCAGUAAGAGACUCUUCUCCCUUAACCAAUUUAAAAUUAUGAUUUUACUGUGAUAGAGUUAGUUGUUAGCUACUCUUUUCUGAUGCGAGGAUUGGGAGGAACCCUUGCUUUAAGCUGAUAAUAUGAUUGCAACAGUGUGUAUGUAGUAUGUACACUGUGUAGUUAGUAAUCUGUAUGUAUAUAAUAUGUGUAUGUAGUAUGUAAGAUGAUUAGAAGAAAGUAGAGCAUAUCCAAUUAGUUACUGACUAUGUCAAUAGUGUUAAAGCAUGAGAAUAAAACUAUUUUGAAACUCCUUAUGAUAAGAAUCAGACUAAGCUUGAAGUAAAGAUUGAAGGAGUUUUGUUUCUUUUUCGAUGACCUCUUAACUUUUCUCUUUCCAGAAAAUAAAAAUAAGUUCUACAAGAAUGCCAAAUAUGUGAUCAAGUUUACAAAGUCAACGAAGCACACAACUUUUGUGAGAAGGAUAAGAUGAAGCUGCACAACUUUUAUGCAGAGGAUCAGAAUAAACAACUUUCGUGUAGUUUAUCUUAAAAAAACAUGAAAAGGCACUCAAGCAUGCUGUGGACUUUAUAAUUCACAUGUGCAUUUACAUUUUAUCUCUUUUCAUUCUCCCUAAAAGAUCAAGAGCAAACCAAAAGAUAGCCUUUUCUCUAAUUUGGCUACAUAAAAACUUAAUGUUAACAACAGUUUUCUGAUUAAUCCAACUCUUAGACUAGAUUACUCUUUUUGUCGAUUUCAAAUUUUUUAUUAUGUUUUUUUUCUGUUCUCCAAAAAUGUUGACAGCACUGCAAAUCUAACACUUAGCAGUUGUAAAGGAGAGUCCCCCUAUUUAUGUUUGAUAUCGUGACAACACUUAUAUGUAACGACGUAGUAUUAAACCGACAGCUAUGCACACUAAGAUACAGAACGUACCCGGCAUAUAUAUGGCCAAAUACUUCUUUAACGUUAUAAACAUCCAACUUGAAUAGAGAACACUUAGCUCAAGAUUUGUAUUUUAUAAAAUUUGUAAACCAUUUUUAAUUUAAACCAGCUUAUGCUAACAAAUUCAUGCGAAAUCACAAGAUGCAUCAUGUAUGGUUAUUCGAUUAUUUCUUACAAACUCCGAGAUCUAAGAUUAAUAUAUAUUGUACAUAUUAAAUAAGAUAAUACUCUCUCUGUUUUUUUUUAUUGUAAGUAGUUUAAGUAAAAUUUGUUUGUUUCAAAAUAUAAGUAACUUUCAUAAUUUUAAGUAAUUUUUACUUUUAUUGGGUAUAUUGUGACCAAUCAAAUAAUAUAUAUUUAUUUAUAAUUGGUUUAACUACCCCUAAUUUAAAUAUCAAAUACUACUUUUAGAAAAAUUAAUAACUUUUUUAGUAUCUGUGCAUUCAUCUAAAACUACCUACAUAAAAAAAAAGAGGAAGUAGUAAUCAUUGUUUUGUUAAAAUAUGUGAAAAAUAUAUAAAUGUAGGAUUAUAUUGACACUAUGUUAAAUGUGUCUUUAUAAUUUCUAAAAUGAAUAGUAAAAUACAUAAAUAAAAUUGUUGUAAAAAAUUAUAAAUGUCAAUGCUAUUUUUAGUUAAAAUAAAUCAAAAAAUUUAAAAUAAAUUUGUACUAAUAAUUUAUUUACACUCCCGUCCUAUGGGCGGGUUUACUCUAGUUAAUUAUAAAACUACUCAUUAGAGCUUCUAAUAGGUUCUUACCAAUGGAGUUGCUCUAACAAGUCUAACGAAUAUUGAAUUUGAAACACAAAGAGAAGUAUUUGAGCACAUAUUUUGUUUUGCCUGGUAUUGAUCUGUUUACUUAAACAUAUUUUUGUUUUGCUUAAUUAACAAGGCGAACCGGUCGGGUUUUGUUUGUAUUGUUCCCAUAAAAGAUGGGGGAUUGUUGAUGUGCGGAGUCAAAAACUUUGUAAAGUUGAGUUUUCUUGGUUUUAUAAACGCUGUCGUUUUAGACAAGUGGUGUAAAUCUUGUCGGAUAUAUUGUCGUCACGUGAUGAUGAUGUCGUUUGAUGGUGUCAUGUGAACCAAGCCACGGGAUUAUCAUGAUGUGGCGUGCGUGCAUGAUCCAUGUUCUAUGAAAAUAAAAUAUGUUUUAUAAUUUCGAAUUAAAGAGUCCUCUUUAGCAUCUAAUACCUAUUUAAUCUCUUAUUUAAUUCCGUUAGAUAAUUAUAUAAUCGUUAACCAAUGCGUGUAUUUGUGGCAGGCGUUACACGUAACAAAUGAAAUCAGCAGCUACAAGAGAUCAAAGAAACAAAAGGUAUCCACUUCUCUCUCUCUCUCUUUCUUUUAUCUCGCACGAUCUCUAUAUCUAAUGCUCUUGGGGAAUAUUCUGCAGAUUUUCUUGGACCUUAAAGAUGCAGAGAACUUUCAGCUGAAGGAAAGACUUAACCUUCAAAAGGUUUUUUUUCUCUCUUUUCUUGAACAUUUGCUUUUACCAAAACCGUAUUCCUUAUAGAUCUCUUAUCUUUUCAUCAGAAUAUUGCAAAUGUGCAAGCAACAUACGAGAAACGAAGUGCCAAGAACCAAAGCUUGAAGAGAAUGAAGGUGUGUGACUUUACUUUAAUACAUUUCCGUUCUCUCUCUUUUUUUUCUUUUUAAAUUCCGCUGAUCUUGAAACCUGAAUCAGAAUCGUUUGCUGUUUUGUAGCUUGAGUACUCAGAUCGAAUCAAGAAUAUUCCAAUUAACAGAUCUAAUCUCGACGAGUCCCGGAAAAAGAGGCGGUUACCUUUCUCCAGCUCUCGAAAACCGGUGAAAAACGAACAUUCGUACAGAACAACAAGUGAAACCAAGAGACCUGAAGAAAAGGGUUUCUUCUUCCUCCCUGAUCUGAACAUGACACCCAUAGAGGAAGAAGAGACCUUGUACGGGACGCGUUAAACAAAGAAAGCUUUAACCCACAAUGACGUCACAGGUAAUUACUAGAGAUCAGUGGUGUAGCUUUUUGUCCGUGGACGGAGGAGAUGGGAGUAAGUGAUGAGUUUGCCGACAAAGAAUUCACACUACUCAACAAGGAUUCGAGAAGAUUUUAUAUAAGAAGAUAAAAAGGGAAUGAAACAAUGUAAUAAGAGGAUUACCAAAUAUUAUUCUCGAUUUUAUCUUCUCUGCUUAUGAAAUGAAUUUCUUGGGUAAAACAGUUUUUGAUUCUUGUUUUUUUUUUCUUGCGAAGUGCGCAAUUCAAGUAAAAAUGUAAGCCACCAAAUAGGCUGUUUCUUGUAAAAAUCUUCUUGUUUCACCAAAACAAUAGUUAUGUACAUCACAAAUGAUUCAUGCAUUGAAUGGUACCUAAAUACAAGAGAAAUGGCUUAUGACACUAAUACCUCAAGAACCUGCAACACAGCCAUAUCUUGAAUCAGAUACAGUGAUGAUGGAAGACAGGAGUUUCGUACAUAUCACUCGCGCAUGCUCUGCAGUAAUUGGCUCUUUCAUCAGAUACUUUACCUUUGAAUGAUGUCAUUGUUUGUCCUCAGAUUACCAAGUCUCUAUUAUCUGUAUCUAAGAUUACACAAGAUUACCCUUGCUCUUUUAAAUUUGAUGAUAUUGGGAUAUGUGUUAAAGACAAGAGAAUAAUGACAGUUUUCGUACGUGAGGCUAGUGUUAGUUGCAUAGUUGUAUAUUGAUUGAUUAGUCGUGUUACGCAACUUGUAUUGCUUGUGCAUGGUUUAUUGAUUUUUUUCGUGUUCUUUUCUGUAUUAAUAAUGACAUUAAUUUGGGCUUAAGUAUUCAAGUUGACUGUUCGAAUCAUGAUCUAUAUUAUUAACUAGAAAAUGAUUGACAAAUAUCUCAAGGGAGAAGAAGAAGAAGCCUGCAUAGCCAAAAUACAGUUGCACACUAAUAGCAUCUCCAAUCCCACUCCAUAAUUUAUUGCAAAAUGGAGUGGGAAAUGGAGUGAUGAAUAAAUAAAAACCGUUGUGAAGGAAAUGAGUUUUUUUUUUGUUCAUCCUCAACGUCCCUCUGUUCUCUCCUAUGAUGCACCGGGACGGAUACAGGGACAGAUACUGGUACGGAAGCGGGGACGGGAAACGGCAAAACUAAAAAAUUACGGGUACGGGUACGGGAAAUAUAUAUCAAUAAAGUAUAUAUAUAUGUAUAUUUAUAUACUGAAAAAUAAAAAUAUAUCACUGUAAAUCUUAUCUAAUAAACUAAAAAGAUUAGAAAGUAGGUUAUAAAUUCAAAAUCUAGUAUAAACUUCUACUUUUUAUUUUUUAUUUGUAAGAAAAGUAAGUGAAUAAGCUUAAAAAGGAUAAUAGCAAAGCAAAUAUUUUCUGAAAAUUUCCAUAAUUAACGGUUCGGUGUCCCCGUGCCGUCCCCGAAGUGUCCCCAUCCCGGAAACGUCUCCGGUACGGAUACGUAAAUCAAUUUGACGUCCCCGUGCUUCAUAGGUUCUCUCUCUAUCUCCCUGAUUAAACCUUCAUAAUCAGGUAAUUAUCUCAGGCUUAGAAUCGUUAUUUUGCUUUGGUGGGUUUGUAAUUGUAUGAUGAUGAUGAUGAUGAAGGAAUUGCAAUGUUAUGGGUUUGUUGGUUUUGUGAUUUUGAUUAUCUAAGAUUGUUCAUAAUCUUGUCUAGCGCCAGAGAAGCGACAUGAUUUCCUUCACAACGAUUUCUCUCUCUUUCUCUCUGUGUUAAUGUCGUGGAAGAAGUCUGAUUUCAUUUUGAUAGAUGAUGGUUUCGCUCUCUUUCUCUCUGUGUUAAUGCCGGAGCAGAGGAGAAAGUCGAUGACUUGUAAUGCCAAGUCAUGCCCUGUUUGGUCUAGGUGUCCCCGAGCUUGUUGUGAUUGCUGGCGUCGCUGAGUUGGUUCUUCUUAGAUAUAUAGCUUGUACUUGUAUGUUCUGUGUUCCUUUUAGCUCUUCUUGUCUUUAAUAUUUGCAUUGAUGAAGGGCUUGUGGGGGAUUGUGUAAUGAUGCAGGCUGCAAAAGAGUUUGAGUCUGAGCUUAAGCCAGAACCUGAAGAUCAUGUUACUGGCUCGUCUCCUGUGGCAAUGAGCAACAAGGAAGACUUUAUCUGUCAUUAAGUGGAGUGGAAGAGACAAUAGUAAAUUAUGCAGCGGCCAAAGGAGAUAGUUCGCUCAAGGCAGCAAUGGCUUCACAGUCCGUUGUGCAAUUGGGUUUGCUUAUGACAUUGCCAAUGAUAAUGGAGGAGCCAAGUACAGAGCAACAGGUCGUGGUUUUGUGUUCAAGCACGAGAAGUUUGCAGAGAAUUACAGGAUGUAUUCGAGAAGCCACUUUGUGAAAGGAUUGGAGUUGAUGGUACAAAUCAAGAUUUCAACUAAUCAGGUUUUUCUAGUUUAUGAGUUGUAUUUGUAUCUUUAAAUAUGCUUUUAUGUCAUUUUAUUUAAAUUUUUAUGUUAUUAAAUUCAAUCAUUCAAAUUCUAAAAAAAAAAAAAAAUUAAGAACCUCUAAGAAAUUCUCCCAUUGGACUAUGGAAAAAUUAGUUACACUUAUAGGGGUUCUAAACUUUUCAAAUCACACAAUCUUUAUAUAUAAAGUAUAGUUUCUCUCAGUCCUAGGCAUGACAAGUCGGAUUCCACGUCAUCAAUUCUGGUGACAUCGUGACGACACGUGGCAUACUCAUUUACCAAUCGAAGGCUUUUGUGUUUUGUUUCUGGGCUUUCCCGAAUAUUAGGUUAUAGACAAUGAGUUAAUUAUAUUUGGGCCAAAAUCCAGACAAGAUAGACCCAUAACGCUUUAAUCUUCUUCCGAAACAAUUUUAGAGUUCAUGGACUCUAAGACUCGGAUUCUGUCUGCCAACAAUGGCGUUUUUGAGAUUGCCCAAGACUCGAUGAUUCGUUGUUAAUCCUCCUGCGGAUACGGAGGACGCGGUGGUUACGGUGGCGGCGGUAGAGGAAAUCAAGGUAUGGGAUUUAGAUUGUUCUAGAUCUGAAAGGAUACGUCUUUAUGAUUCUUUAGAUCUCUAGCUUGGUUUCUUCUCUUCAAUCAUUACUUUCUUUAAAUCUGCUAAUGAUUUGAUUCGAUUCAAGCGGUGGUGGUUAUCAAGAAGGUGAUCGCGGUGUAAGAGUAGGUGGCGGCGGUGGCGGGAGAGGUGGUGGUGGCAGAGAUGGUGGCUGCAAAGAUGGUGAUUGGCGUUGCCCUAACCCAAGGUAAUUAUUUCUUUAGUCUUUUAAUCCAUUCUUUCUGCCUGUGUAAUGAUUGAAAUUGGAUUCUCUGUGGAAUAGUAUGUUUUGGAGUUGUUUAACCUUAAACUGUUUUGUAUAUAUAGUUGUGGGAAAGUGAACUUUGCAAGGAGACUUGAAUGUAACAAGUGUGGGGCACCUACUCCUUCUGGCACUUGUGAGUGGUGACCGAGGAGGUGGCCGAGGUGCCAGCGAUCGUGGUGGUGGUCGUGAUAGUGGUAGGAGCUAUGAGAGUAGUAGAUAUGAUGGUGGCAGUAGGAGCGGUGGUGGUGGUGGCGGCUCUUAUGGUAGUGAUUGUUGGGGUAAUGGUUCUUAUGGUCAUGGUUCUCCACCUCCUUUGGCGGCUAUUCCAUCCUAUGAUGGUUCUGGCAGUUACCCUCUGCCCAUGGGGUAUGGAAUGGAAGCAGUUCCCCUGCCUUCAAGCUAUGCUGGUGGUCCCCCUUCUUAUGGUGGUCCCACAGGGGGUUAUGGCAGUGAUGCACCGAGCAUUGGUGGUCGGGGUGGUAGAGGUGGUAGCUACGAUGGUGAUAGUGCUCCUCGACGCCAGGAACCUAGCUAUGGAGAUGCACCUGCUGAAAAAGUCAAGCAGUGCGACGAGAAUUGUGAUAAUGCCACAAUAUAUAUCAAUAAUUUACCUCCAGAUGUGACAACGGAUGAACUCAAAGAUCUCUUUGGAGGCAUUGGUCAAGUAAUUACACUUAUCUUUUUUUACUUCUUUUGUGUCUUUACAUCUGGGAAUAAGUUUUACCUUGGAGUAGAUUCAUGUUUCUGUAUUUGUUUAUUGGUUUGUUGGUGGGGAGUGCACUUUUUGUUGAAUCUAUAAUAGGUUGGGAGAAUCAAGCAGAAGCGGGGUUACAAAGAUCAGCAGUAUGACAUUCACAGAAAUGCUUUC
rnacentral:lncRNA from 1 species